UACCUGAUGGUCCAGUUGUUAGGACUUGGCACUUUCACUGCUGGGACCCCGGGUUCAAUCCCCAGUCAGGGAA
rnacentral:tRNA from 1 species